GGGCGUGGUCGAGUUCCUGCCCGUUGGUGGCGACCUGGGAUUUGUUGGGGCAGACGAAGCCGUCGGCGAGAACUUCUGCAGGAGACGGAGGAAGAGGAAAGGGGCAUGAAGAAGAAAACCUGACAGACAUGAUUCAAUAGCCAAGACUGCAAUAUGCAAUAUAAAUCAGAAGUGGCGAAAAACCAAGAGCUCCCGUCAGCUUUUUGUGAAUCUUCGUCGAGUAUUCUUUCAUAUCAUGGUGCUUCGACUACACUACGCUGGACAGAUCAGACUGCCAAACUUCCUAUGUCCUUCUGUGUCUUACCUGAACUUGUCUGAAACUAUCAAGGAAAGUCUCUGUACCAUCGUCAUAUAUGUCCGAGGCUGCUGAGACCAACAUAUCAGUAUUUCUAAGGCAGCCAGUGAAGUCAGUCAGUGAUGGCAAGAGGGCUCUUUGACGCCGGUCGACCCUGAACUCGCAGGAGUAACGGUCGACCCGUUAUCUGACUCGACCAGCGUCGGCGACGGCGGCG